GAUGAACGCUGGCGGCGUGCCUAAUACAUGCAAGUCGAGCGAACAGACGAGGAGCUUGCUCCUCUGACGUUAGCGGCGGACGGGUGAGUAACACGUGGAUAACCUACCUAUAAGACUGGGAUAACUUCGGGAAACCGGAGCUAAUACCGGAUAAUAUAUUGAACCGCAUGGUUCAAUAGUGAAAGACGGUUUUGCUGUCACUUAUAGAUGGAUCCGCGCCGCAUUAGCUAGUUGGUAAGGUAACGGCUUACCAAGGCAACGAUGCGUAGCCGACCUGAGAGGGUGAUCGGCCAAACUGGAACUGAGACACGGUCCAGACCCCUACGGGAGGCAGCAGUAGGGAAUCUUCCGAAAGGGGCGAAAGCCUGACGGAGCAACGCCGCGGGGGGGAUGAAGGUUUUCGGAUCGUAAAACUCUUUUAUUAGGGAAGAAAAAAUGUGUAAGUAACUAUGCACGUUUUGACGGUACCUAAUCAGAAAGCCACGGCUAACUACGU
rnacentral:rRNA from 1 species